CAGGGUGGCUUCUCACACUUCUUAUUAAAGGGGCUGCCUAUCUGUGUAGCUUUUCUUAGGUUGGCGAGUUUUUCCAGAUUUUUGCCUUCUUGGUCCCUGUAAUUGCUUUUGGACAAAGGAACAUUGUGUGCUUUACGGGGUGUCUAUUCUAGAUACAGCUUAGAGGAUCCCCUAGAAUUCCAGGCUAUCAUAAUGCUGUGUUUCUUUCUUUCCAUUUCAAAAAUUCCCCAUUUCUCAUCCCUUCAGAUUCCGGAGUUCUGCUGUCAGUGACGCUCUGGGGGAAGCAGAGACUUGGUGGCCUUUUAUUCACCUUAUGUGAAGAGCCGUUUUGAAGCAAUAUGUCAUUUGCUCUCUCAGCAGCCUCAUUGCUGAUGACUAACAGUUCCACAUGGGUGAAGCAUAGACUGCUUUUUUUUUUUUCAAGAUUUUUUUUCUUUUUUUUUUUUUUUUUGCUGGCAAGGCAUGACAUUGGGUUUUUCACUUCUGGAAACCUGCUUUCUAGCACUCUUGUUGGAAUUUGCAAUGUGACUCAUAUCAACCACCUCAACAGAAAGCGAUGAGAUCUCGGCACUGGCGCUUUCAGGGAGCAGGGAGCGUGUGCUCCGAGCAAGCGGGGAGGAUGAACGAGGCUUUUUCAGAAGAAUGCAGUACGUUUGCAGGUUUUGGGGGCUGUAACUAGGAAGUGGAAGAUGAAUCUGAAUGGUGGAAAACCCCUCUCACUGAAAAUGGUGUUUAAAAAAAAAAAAAAGAAAAGAAGAAGAAGAAGAAGAAAAAAAAUCUGAAGUGAACUUCCUCUGCUAGCUGUCUUCUGCCUGUUGGGAAAGGAGAGGUUGGCAGUUCAUCACCCGCUCCUCGGAAGAGGCUGGCAGCCUGUUUGCUGAAAAUAUAAUGUCAAACGUAAGAGCCGCGAUCCUUGUAAUGCCCCUCAUUUAUAUUUAUGGCUAAAAGGGGUUUUUGCUGGUCGCUAUGUGCUGCAAGCGACCGAGUCUUCAGUUUUGCACUGGGAUCAGAGGACACUUUGGUUAGCAGAUGGCUGAGCCCGCGGGCGUCUGCCCGGGCUGCGGUGGGAAGGCUGAUGUCCCGCGGCCAACCUGGCGCUCCUCGCAUGUGCCGGGGUUGGG